UAAGCAAAAUGGAGUAAAGGAUAACUCAUUGGUUUCAUUGUCCAAAGUUAAAGGUUUAAGUCCUUUUUUGUUAAUC
rnacentral:tRNA from 1 species